UUUUCGUAGGUGAACCUGCGGAAGGAUCAUUAGUGAAUUUUUUAGAGUUCGGACGCUUUGCAAAAAGUUGACGGCUCGCUCACUAUUCUUUUACACACUUGUGCACUUGUCUUAAAUUUUUUCGAUGUCAAAGUCGAUGAAUUUUUAACACUUUUGUAUACUUGAUAUAAAAAAAAAGUCAUUGUGAAAAAUUGAUAAAGAAAGAAAAACUUUCAGCAAUGGAUCUCUUGGCUCUCGCAUCGAUGAAGAACGCAGC
rnacentral:misc_RNA from 1 species